rnacentral:miRNA from 10 species
AUAUAUGUUUAUAUAGGGAUAAACUUCGUGUGUGUGUAUAUAUAUAUAUAUACCCACACACACACAUACACACACACACACACACACACACAC